rnacentral:rRNA from 1 species
AACGAACGCUGGCGGCAUGCCUAACACAUGCAAGUCGAACGAGACCUUCCUGCUUAUGUGCGCACGGCUGCGUAACGCCUGGUAACCUACCCUUAGGUUCGCAAUCACUCCCCGUAAGGUGUGCUAAUACCGCUUAAUGUCUUCCCACCAAAGAUCUAUGGCCUUUGGAUGGGCGCGCGUUGGUUUCGCUAGUUGGUAGGGUACAAGCCUACCAACGCGACGAUCCAUAGCUGGUCUGAGAGGAGGAUCAUCCGGACUGGGACUGAGACACGGCCCAGACUCGUACGCAAGGCAGCGGUGGAGAAUAUAGGACAAGGGGCGAAAGCCUGAUCCAGCAAUGUGGCGGGAGUGAUGAAGGCGGUAGGAUUGUGAAGCUCUUUUACCCGGGAUGAUAAUGACAGUAACGGGAAAAUAAGCUCCGGCUAACUACGUG